AAUAGAUACCCCGGUAGUCCACGCCGUAAACGAUGAGUGCUAAGUGUUAGAGGGUUUCCGCCCUUUAGUGCUGCAGCUAACGCAUUAAGCACUCCGCCUGGGGAGUACGGUCGCAAGACUGAAACUCAAAGGAAUUGACGGGGGCCCGCACAAGCGGUGGAGCAUGUGGUUUAAUUCGAAGCAACGCGAAGAACCUUACCAGGUCUUGACAUCCUCUGACAACUCUAGAGAUAGAGCGUUCCCCUUCGGGGGACAGAGUGACAGGUGGUGCAUGGUUGUCGUCAGCUCGUGUCGUGAGAUGUUGGGUUAAGUCCCGCAACGAGCGCAACCCUUGAUCUUAGUUGCCAGCAUUUAGUUGGGCACUCUAAGGUGACUGCCGGUGACAAACCGGAGGAAGGUGGGGAUGACGUCAAAUCAUCAUGCCCCCUUAUGACCUGGGCUACACACGUGCUACAAUGGAUGGUACAAAGGGCUGCAAGACCGCGAGGUCAAGCCAAUCCCAUAAAACCAUUCUCAGUUCGGAUUGUAGG
rnacentral:rRNA from 1 species